rnacentral:sRNA from 1 species
UACGUGGUUGUGCACUAACAGCCUACA